UCUGGUGAUUUGGCGCUGUGGCACCACCCGUUCUCAUUCCGAACACGGCAGUGAAACGCAGUAGCGGCGAUGAUAGUCCUACGCGGGCGAAAGUAGCUUGUCGCCAGAA
rnacentral:rRNA from 1 species